ensembl:lncRNA
UGAAAGCCUGCCACCGCCCCGUUGACGCCACUAGGGAAGCGAGAGGACCUGGAACCCGGAUAGAGCGGGCGCCAUGUUAAGUGUGGGGGCCCAUGAUGAUUCUGAGUUUUACUCAUAGCUCCCGCCAGCCCUGCUGGCCUGUGGGGAAACUUUUCUAACUUUUGCAGGAAAGAACAAAUAUAUCUUUGAGCUAAUUUUUAAUUGAGCAGUUUCGUGUCACUUCCGCCCAAAACAAAAAUGUCCUCCGGUAGCCUCAAACCAGCGCUGUAGUAAAGGGGGCAGAGGAAAAGGAAGACGGCGAUUGGUGAGAACUCGGUGAGCGACGGCCCGCAUGCCGCACCCUCAUUGGCUGCGCUGCGUGAGCCCAAAUCGUGUGCCUCCAGAGCUGCAGCUGUCUGUCGGAGACCUUGAUUGGCGAGUGGAGCCCUUCGGUGAAAAGUGAAACUGGGGAUAUUAACUGAUUAUUUCUAGUGGUAAUGGCGCCUGCUUUAUUGGCUGUAACUAUCCGGCCAUAGGGGAGCACAGCUGUAAUACUAGCUACCUGGAGGGAGAGAAAGGACGAUCGCGAGUUCGAAGCCAGCCUGGGCGACUUCGAGUUUGCCUCCAAUUUUUAAAGAAGAGCUCAGCGACGAGGCGCUUGCCUAGCAUGCGCGAGGCUCUUCGGUUCAACCUCAGUAGCAGGAAAAAUAAUAAAAAGAAGAGAAAGAGACGGACCAUAGGCUCACACUUGUAAUUUCAGCCCUCUAGAAACUGAGGCAGAAGGAUUGCAGAUUCGACCCCAGCCUGGGCAAUUCAGUGAGAUCUUGUCUUAAAAUAAAAAUUUUAAAAGGCGGGGGGCACCCUGAAGAUGUACUAAGGCUCUGGGUUCAACCCUGAGUGCAGUCCAAACAGACAGACACACACACACAUACACAUUUGCAGCACACAAACUAAACAGUAUUUUCCCUACUGUCAUCUUCAAGAUCCGUAGUCGUCAUUGUUACAACCAGCGAGAAAGAACCAACCAGAGACCGAUAUUAAAUCCACACAGGAGUUUAUUACUGGCCGGGACCUGAGCCGAGCAUCAGAGCCCGGAGUGGAGGGAGACAAACAUGUUUUACACACCUUUGAGGCCAGCAGUUUCUAGGCCCCGCUAUGGGAUAGAACUAGUAAAGCAAGCAAAAGUGUCCAGAUGUGGCCGGGCCCCUGGGUGGACUCUCCUUAUCUUCCCAGCCCGGUGGUCCAGACUCUGCACUUCAUUUCCCCAAGAGAGAACAACUAAAGCAGAAGGAGAAGCUAAAAAGUUAACUCGGAACAGC